rnacentral:rRNA from 1 species
AUGGCGUCGCCUCGCCACCGCUCCCUCCCGCUCCGCCUCCUCAUCCUCUUCCCCGUCUCACUAUGUAUCCUCCUCCUCCUCCGCCGCUCCUCCUACGCCGCACCUCCGCUCAUACCCGCGCGUCCGGCUCCGGAUCCCCACCGGUUCUCCCUCCUCAUCAAACUCCUGGCCUACGAUCGCCCCGCCCCUCUGCUCCGCUGCCUCCGUUCCCUCGCGGCUGCCGACUACGAUGGCGACCGCGUCGCGCUGCACGUCCUCCUCGACCACCUCCCGCCCAACUCGUCCGCCCCACUCCUUGCAGCGUCCCACGAGAUCCUCACCGCCGUCGACGCCUUCCCCUGGCCGCACGGGGAGAAGCGCAUCCACUACCGGGCGGCUAAUGUGGGGCUCCAGGCGCAGUGGAUCGAGGCGUGGUGGCCUGGCUCGAACGACGAGUUCGCCUUCGUCGUUGAGGACGACCUCGAGGUCUCACCGCUCUACUACAGGUUCCUAAAGCGGGUGGUCAUGCGGUACUACUACGACAGGGAGAACUACAGUCCCUACGUCUUCGGCGCGUCACUGCAGCGCCCCCGGUUCGUCGCAGGUAAACAUGGAAACAAGAUACAGCUGGACAGUGAAACUAGACUAUUCUUGUACCAGAUGGUUGGUACAUGGGGCCAACUUCUCUUUCCCAAACCAUGGAAAGAAUUUCGAUUAUGGUAUGAUGAACAGAAAGCCAAAGGAAUCAAACCUAUUCUUCAAGGCAUGAAAACUACAGGAUGGUACAGAAAGAUGGGCGAGAGAAUAUGGACUCCUUGGUUCAUAAAAUUUGUUCACUCACGUGGAUACUUCAACAUCUACACAAACUUCUUGAAGGAAAGGGCCCUCAGCAUCUCUCAUAGGGAUGCAGGUGUGAACUAUGGAAGAAGUGUUGGACCAGAUUCAACAUUGUUAGACAGGAAUAAUCUCGAUUUCAACAUAUGGCAAUUGCAGCCUCUAAAGAAGCUAAAAUGGUAUGACUUCUGCUUUGCUGAAAUUCUUCCAGGAAGGUUUGUUCGGAAAUUUAGUGAGCUUGGUUCUGUGCUCAAGUCUGUGCAAUUAGGAAACAGUGUUGUACUCAUAAGUUUGUAUUCAGUGGAACAGAGGAUUGUGAGAAACCUUAUUUGCCAUCUUGAGAAGACAGGCAUGCGAAAUUACGUCUUCCUUGGUGACAAUUCAGAGUUUCUGGAUGACCUUGCUCAUAGAGGACAUGCCGUCAUUGAUGCUAUUGAGUUGCUGCAGGGGAUCAAAAUACGUAGUUAUAUGAAUUCUGAUGGUUUUGUUAAGGAAGUACUGGCUAAAGCUUACGUGAUACAACAUUGCUUGAACCUGGGUUACAAUCUAUGGGUACUAAAUGGUAAUAUGAUUUCACUUGACAGUAAGUUGGUUGAGCCAUCAAAUCAAUCAGUUGACAUUUUUACUGCAGACCCUGUGGAUUUGAUAUUUAUAAGAAGCUCACAAGGCUCUAAAAAAACAUGGAACGAGCAUAUUAUAUCAAGAGUAGCAGAUGGUGUGCUGCCUCCAAAAGGUGAUUUUAUUGCUUCCUUGAAACAUGUGAGUUUUGUUCAUAUACUUACCAGAGCGUUGGAAAACAAUGGUGGUGGUGUGAGGCUGGGGAAACUGAAUGAGGAGAUAAUGACUAUGGAAUUAGGGCCUAACAUGUCGAAUAGAUCACUGUCGGAGGGUCAAAGUAAAAUGCUUUUCUGGUCUGACAGUGUGGCUUCAGAUUCGGUACAAAGGCAACUCGGAAAUGUGAAUUUGUGGUUAAUUGACUCAGAUUCAUCUUGUAGUGCUGUUGUUUGUAACCAAAAGCAGAAGUAG